rnacentral:rRNA from 1 species
UCGAGAAUCUUCGGCAAUGGACGCAAGUCUGACCGAGCGAUGCCGCGUGCGGGAUGAAGGCCCUCGGGUUGUAAACCGCUGUCAGUUGGGAGGAAGGCUCUGUGAAGAGCAGAGUUUGACCCAUCUUCAGAGGAAGUACGGGCUAAGUUCGUGCCAGCAGCCGCGGUAACACGAACCGUACGAACGUUAUUCGGAAUCAUUGGGCUUAAAGGGUGCGUAGGCGGUGCGUUAAGUCGGGUGUGAAAUCCCUCAGCUCAACUGAGGAACUGCGCCCGAUACUGGCGUGCUCGAGGGAGACAGGGGUAAGCGGAACUGAUGGUGGAGCGGUGAAAUGCGUUGAUAUCAUCAGGAACACCGGUGGCGAAAGCGGCUUACUGGGUCUCUUCUGACGCUGAGGCACGAAAGCUAGGGUAGCGAACGGGAUUAGAUACCCCCGUAGUCC